GACGAACGCUGGCGGCGUGCCUAACACAUGCAAGUCGAACGAGGUCCAUCCUUCGGGAGAAGACCUAGUGGCGAACGGGUGAGUAACACGUGAGGAACCUGCCCCGAAGACCGGGAUAACCCUCCGAAAGGAGAGCUAAUACCGGAUGUCCCCACCGGACCGCAUGGUCUGAUGAGGAAAUGGAUUCCGCUUCGGGAGGGCCUCGCGGCCUAUCCGCUUGUUGGCGGGGUAACGGCCCACCAAGGCAUCGACGGGUAGCUGGUCUGAGAGGACGAUCAGCCACACUGGGACUGAGACACGGCCCAGACUCCUACGGGAGGCAGCAGUGGGGAAUCUUGCGCAAUGGGCGAAAGCCUGACGCAGCAACGCCGCGUGGGGGAUGAAGGCUCUCGGGUUGUAAACCCCUUUCAGCAGGGACGAAUCAAGACGGUACCUGCAGAAGAAGCCCCGGCUAACUUCGUGCCAGCCGCCGCGGUAAAAC
rnacentral:rRNA from 1 species